AGUGAACGCUGGCGGUAGGCCUAACACAUGCAAGUCGAACGGCAGCACAGGAGAGCUUGCUCUCUGGGUGGCGAGUGGCGGACGGGUGAGGAAUACAUCGGAAUCUACUCUGUCGUGGGGGAUAACGUAGGGAAACUUACGCUAAUACCGCAUACGACCUACGGGUGAAAGCAGGGGACCUUCGGGCCUUGCGCGAUUGAAUGAGCCGAUGUCGGAUUAGCUAGUUGGCGGGGUAAAGGCCCACCAAGGCGACGAUCCGUAGCUGGUCUGAGAGGAGGAUCAGCCACACUGGAACUGAGACACGGUCCAGACUCCUACGGGAGGCAGCAGUGGGGAAUAUUGGACAAUGGGCGCAAGCCUGAUCCAGCCAUACCGCGUGGGUGAAGAAGGCCUUCGGGUUGUAAAGCCCUUUUGUUGGGAAAGAAAUCCAGCUGGCUAAUACCCGGUUGGGAUGACGGUACCCAAAGAAUAAGCACCGACUAACUUCGUGCCAGCAGCCGCGGUAA
rnacentral:rRNA from 1 species